rnacentral:rRNA from 1 species
CCUACGGGGGGCAGCAGUGGGGGAUAUUGCACAAUGGGGGAAACCCUGAUGCAGCGACGCCGCGUGUGGGAAGACGGUCCUCUGGAUUGUAAACCACUGUCUCCAGGGACGAAGAUGACGGUACCUGGUGAUGACGCUCCGGCUAACUACGUGCCAGCAGCCGCGGUAAUACGUAGGGAGCGAGCGUUGUCCGGAAUUACUGGGGGAAAAGGGAGCGGAGGCGGGGAGGCAAGUUGGGUGUCAAAACUACCGGCUCAACUGGUAGUCGCACUCGAAACUGCAGCUCUUGAGUGAAGUAGAGGCAGGCGGAAUUCCUGGUGUAGCGGUGAAAUGCGUAGAUAGAAGGAGGAACACCAGUGGCGAAGGCGGCCUGCUGGGCUUUUACUGACGCUGAGGCUCGAAAGCGUGGGGAGCAAACAGGAUUAGAUACCCCUGUAGUC